rnacentral:misc_RNA from 1 species
UUUCUUCUUGCACAAGAAACAAGCUUUAAGAAACUCUCCAAACCCAGUACCAGGCUUCUUGUUCUUCGGCCGUGCAUCGUUACUCUCCCUCUCAGGCAAUCCCAACGUGAGUAUACACCGGCGAGUCUGCUGCUUCUCUGCCGAUACUGGAGGCUGAGAGCACUCUUUAACCGUCUUUGAGGUAGUGAUGGGAGCAGGGCCUUUCCUCUCAGAGAAGACACCGGAGACUCGAUCGGCAGAGUAUGGUUGAACAGCCCAAUCUCUCCCUGGCUCGACGACCGAACAACACGAGAACGUGUGAAAGACAUUGACAGUAACUGGGGGAAUAUGUUAGGGAUUGGAUGUUGUUGAAAAAUGUUGCGUAAUUAGGGUUUUUAUGAUGACAAAUGAAAGCUCUAAUAUUUGGGUUUUGUCUUCAGUAAUGGGAAUCAAUUAUUCUUGUAAAAGGGAUGGGAUUAGGGUUCUUG